CUAAUACAUGCAAGUCGAGCGAAUGGAUUAAGAGCUUGCUCUUAUGAAGUUAGCGGCGGACGGGUGAGUAACACGUGGGUAACCUGCCCAUAAGACUGGGAUAACUCCGGGAAACCGGGGCUAAUACCGGAUAACAUUUUGAACCGCAUGGUUCGAAAUUGAAAGGCGGCUUCGGCUGUCACUUAUGGAUGGACCCGCGUCGCAUUAGCUAGUUGGUGAGGUAACGGCUCACCAAGGCAACGAUGCGUAGCCGACCUGAGAGGGUGAUCGGCCACACUGGGACUGAGACACGGCCCAGACUCCUACGGGAGGCAGCAGUAGGGAAUCUUCCGCAAUGGACGAAAGUCUGACGGAGCAACGCCGCGUGAGUGAUGAAGGCUUUCGGGUCGUAAAACUCUGUUGUUAGGGAAGAACAAGUGCUAGUUGAAUAAGCUGGCACCUUGACGGUACCUAACCAGAAAGCCACGGCUAACUACGUGCCAGCAGCCGCGGUAAUACGUAGGUGGCAAGCGUUAUCCGGAAUUAUUGGGCGUAAAGCGCGCGCAGGUGGUUUCUUAAGUCUGAUGUGAAAGCCCACGGCUCAACCGUGGAGGGUCAUUGGAAACUGGGAGACUUGAGUGCAGAAGAGGAAAGUGGAAUUCCAUGUGUAGCGGUGAAAUGCGUAGAGAUAUGGAGGAACACCAGUGGCGAAGGCGACUUUCUGGUCUGUAACUGACACUGAGGCGCGAAAGCGUGGGGAGCAAACAGGAUUAGA
rnacentral:rRNA from 1 species